rnacentral:rRNA from 1 species
UGGAAGUAAAAGUCGUAACAAGGUCUCCGUUGGUGAACCAGCGGAGGGAUCAUUACCGAGUUUACAACUCCCAAACCCAAACGUUACCAAACUGUUGCCUCGGCGGGAUCUCUGCCCCGGGUGCGUCGCAGCCCCGGACCAAGGCGCCCGCCGGAGGACCAACCAAAACUCUUAUUGUAUACCCCCUCGCGGGUUUUUUACUAUCUGAGCCAUCUCGGCGCCCCUCGUGGGCGUUUCGAAAAUGAAUCAAAACUUUCAACAACGGAUCUCUUGGUUCUGGCAUCGAUGAAGAACGCAGCGAAAUGCGAUAAGUAAUGUGAAUUGCAGAAUUCAGUGAAUCAUCGAAUCUUUGAACGCACAUUGCGCCCGCCAGUAUUCUGGCGGGCAUGCCUGUCCGAGCGUCAUUUCAACCCUCGAACCCCUCCGGGGGGUCGGCGUUGGGGAUCGGCCCUUUACGGGGCCGGCCCCGAAAUACAGUGGCGGUCUCGCCGCAGCCUCUCCUGCGCAGUAGUUUGCACACUCGCAUCGGGAGCGCGGCGCGUCCACAGCCGUUAAACACCCCAAACUUCUGAAAUGUUGACCUCGGAUCAGGUAGGAAUACCCGCUGAACUUAAGCAUAUCAAUAAGCGGA